GCCGAACGCUGGCGGCGUGCCUAAUACAUGCAAGUCGAACGCAGUGGGGACGGGUGAGUAACACGUGGGUAACCUCCCAUCAGAGGGGAUAACACUUGGAAACAGGUGCUAAAACGAUACUGAUGGAUGGACCCGCGGUGCAUUAGCUAGUUGGUGGGGUCACGGCUCACCAGGGCCACGAUGCAUAGCCGACCUGAGUGGGUGAUCGGCGACACUGGGACUGAUACACGGCCCAGACGCCUACGGGAGGCAGCAGUAGGGAAUGUUCGGCAAUGGACGAGAGUCUGACCGAGCAACGCCGCGUGAGUGAAGAAGGUGUUCGGAUCGUAAAGCUCUGUUGUUAGAUAAGCGGUAUCUAACCAGAAAGCCACGGCUAACUACGUGCCAGCAGCCGCGGUAAUUC
rnacentral:rRNA from 1 species